UACGUAGGCAGCGAGCGUUGUUCGGAAUUACUGGGCGUAAAGAGUGUGUAGGCGGUGCUCUAAGUUCGGUGUGAAAUCUCCUGGCUCAACUGGGAGGGUGCGCCGGAAACUGGAGUGCUUGAGCGUGGGAGAGGAAAGCGGAAUUCCUGGUGUAGCGGUGAAAUGCGUAGAUAUCAGGAGGAACACCGGUGGCGAAGGCGGUUCUCUGGGCCUGACCUGACGCUGAGGAGCGAAAGCGUGGGGAGCGAACAGG
rnacentral:rRNA from 1 species